GCCUCGACAGCUCAGUCGUGAGAGUGUUGGGCUGAAGAUCUAAAGGUCACCGGUUCGAUCCUGGUUCGGCG
rnacentral:tRNA from 1 species